rnacentral:rRNA from 1 species
CGUGUAGGCGGCCUUUUAAGUCUGAUGUGAAAGCCCGGGGCUUACCUCCGGAAGUGCAUUGGAAACUGGAAGGCUGGAGUACCGGAGAGGAGGGUGGAAUUCCUGGUGUAGCGGUGAAAUGCGUAGAUAUCAGGAGGAACACCGGUGGCGAAGGCGGCCCUCUGGACGGAUACUGACGCUGAGACGCGAAAGCGUGGGGAGCAAACAGGAUUAGAUACCCUGGUAGUCCACGCUGUAAACGAUGGGCACUAGGUGUUCGGGGUAUUGACCCCCUGAGUGCCGCAGCUAACGCAUUAAGUGCCCCGCCUGGGGACUACGGCCGCAAGGUUAAA